GAGGGAGUAAGACUUAAUCUGAGAGACUGCUAACCUCUCAAAUCCACAGUUAAAGCCUGUGGCUCACUCA
rnacentral:tRNA from 1 species